rnacentral:rRNA from 1 species
AUUGAACGCUGGCGGCAUGCUUUACACAUGCAAGUCGAACGGUAACGGGGACUUCGGUCUGCCGACGAGUGGCGAACGGGUGAGUAAUAUAUCGGAACGUGCCCAGUAAUGGGGGAUAGCUCGGCGAAAGCCGGAUUAAUACCGCAUACGCCCUAAGGGGGAAAGUGGGGGAUCUUCGGACCUCACGUUAUUGGAGCGGCCGAUAUCAGAUUAGCUAGUUGGUGGGGUAAAGGCCUACCAAGGCGACGAUCUGUAGCUGGUCUGAGAGGAUGAUCAGCCACACUGGGACUGAGACACGGCCCAGACUCCUACGGGAGGCAGCAGUGGGGAAUUUUGGACAAUGGGCGAAAGCCUGAUCCAGCCAUGCCGCGUGAGUGAAGAAGGCC